AACCACCGUUGCGCCGCCGCCCUCCUCCCUCCUCCGUCGCUGUUCCCGGCAGUUGUUCGAGUUACCGGUAGUAAAUAGCCAUGGAUGAUAGUUUAUAUGAUGAGUUUGGGAACUAUAUUGGUCCUGAAAUAGAGUCUGAUCAGGAAAGUGAUAGGGAAGAGGAAGACGAUGAGCUGCCUGAUAGGAGUGAUGAUGAGAGAGCUGUAUCUGAUGAUGAGCAGCCUGGUGCUUCAAAUGGAUGGCUUGCCACUCAAGAUGAUAUUGACAUGGAUAACCAAGUUGUUCUUGCUGAAGACAAGAAAUACUACCCAACUGCUGAAGAGGUUUAUGGUGAAGAGGUUGAAACGUUGGUCAUGGAUGAAGAUGAACAGCCACUUGAAAUGCCAAUAAUUAAACCAGUGAAGAAUCUUAAGUUUGAACUUGGGGUGAAGGAUUCGUCCACUUAUGUAUCGACUCAGUUUCUCUUAGGUCUGAUGUCAAACCCAGCAUUGGUUAGAAAUGUUGCUCUAGUGGGACACAUACAUCACGGGAAGACUUUGUUUAUGGAUAUGCUGGUGGAACAAACACACCAUAUAUCUACGUUUGAUCAGAAUAGUGAGAAGCAUAUGAGGUAUACAGACACAAGAAUAGAUGAGCAAGAGAGGAGGAUAUCAAUUAAGUCUGUCCCUAUGUCACUAGUCUUGGAAGACAGCAAUUCAAAGUCUUACCUGUGUAACAUUAUGGAUGCUCCCGGCCAUGUCAACUUCUCCGAUGAAAUGACUGCUGCUUUAAGACUUGCUGAUGGGGCAGUUUUGAUUGUUGAUGCAGUUGAAGGAGUGAUGGUAAAUACAGAAAGGGCCAUUAGGCAUGCGAUUCUAGAACGUAUUCCCAUUGUUCUUGUAAUCAACAAGGUUGAUAGAUUGAUAACUGAGCUUAAGUUGCCCCCGAAGGACGCCUACUUCAAACUAAAGCACAUAGUUGAAACUGUCAACAGUCAAAUUACAGCUGCCUCGUCCACCGCUGGAAAUGCACAAGUAAUUGAUCCUGCAUUAGGGAAUGUCUGCUUUGCAAGUGCAACAGCAGGAUGGUCAUUCACUCUGCAGUCAUUUGCCAAACUGUAUGUUAAGCUUCACGGAAUUGCAUUUGAUGCAAACAAGUUUGCUUCGCGGCUUUGGGGGGACUUCUACUUUGAUCCUGAUACAAGAAGUUUCAAGAAGAAACCUCCUGCAAGUGGGGUUGAAAGAUCUUUUGUUCAGUUUGUGCUUGAACCUCUUUACAAGAUUUAUAGCCAAGUGAUCGGAGAGCACAAGAAGAGUGUUGAAGCAACCCUAGCGGAACUUGGGGUGACACUAAGCAAUGCAGCUUAUCGUCUAAAUGUAAGGCCUCUGCUGAGGCUGGCUUGCAGUGCUGUAUUUGGAACUGCCACUGGGUUUACUGACAUGUUGGUUCAUCACAUCCCUUCUGCUAAAGCUGCUGCAGCUAGGAAAGUGGAACACAUAUACACGGGUCCAAAGGAUUCAGCAAUUUACAAAGCAAUGGAAAAUUGUGAUUCUGCUGGCCCGUUGAUGGUUAAUGUGACGAAGCUGUAUCCGAAACCAGAUUGUAGUGUUUUCGAUGCUUUUGGUAGGGUUUACAGCGGGGAAAUAAUGACAGGGCAGACGGUACGCGUUCUUGGUGAGGGCUAUUCACCUGAUGAUGAAGAGGAUAUGACUGUAAAAGAAGUUACAAAGCUGUGGGUAUAUCAAGCUAGAUACAGGAUCCCCAUAAGUAAGGCUCCUCCAGGUGCAUGGGUUCUGAUCGAAGGAGUGGAUGCUUCAAUCAUGAAAACUGCUACUCUUUGUAAUCUGGAAUUUGAUGAGGAUGUAUACAUAUUUCGCCCUCUUCAGUUUAAUACUCUUCCUGUGGUGAAAACAGCUACUGAACCUUUGAAUCCUAGCGAAUUGCCCAAAAUGGUGGAGGGGCUUAGGAAAAUCAGCAAGAGUUAUCCUCUUGCAAUCACAAAGGUUGAAGAGUCGGGUGAACACACGAUAUUAGGUACUGGUGAAUUGUACCUAGAUUCUAUAAUGAAGGACCUUAGGGAGCUUUACUCCGAGGUGGAAGUGAAGGUGGCUGAUCCAGUUGUCUCAUUCUGUGAAACUGUGGUGG
rnacentral:misc_RNA from 1 species